rnacentral:rRNA from 1 species
GAUGAACGCUGGCGGCGUGCCUAAUACAUGCAAGUCGAGCGAACGGACGAGAAGCUUGCUUCUCUGAUGUUAGCGGCGGACGGGUGAGUAACACGUGGAUAACCUACCUAUAAGACUGGGAUAACUUCGGGAAACCGUAGCUAAUACCGGAUAAUAUUUUGAACCGCAUGGUUCAAAAGUGAAAGACGGUCUUGCUGUCACUUAUAGAUGGAUCCGCGCUGCAUUAGCUAGUUGGUAAGGUAACGGCUUACCAAGGCAACGAUGCAUAGCCGACCUGAGAGGGGGACCGGCCAAACGGGAACGGAGACCCGGUCAAGCAUCCUACGGGGGGCAGCAGUGGGGAAUCUUCCGCAAUGGGCGAAAGCCUGACGGAGCAACGCCGCGUGGGUGAUGAAGGUCUUCGGAUCGUAAAACUCUUUUAUUAGGGAAAAACAUAUGUGUAAGUAACUGUGCACAUCUUGGCGGUACCUAAUCAAAAAGCCCCGGCUAACUACGU